CCUACGGGAGGCAGCAGUGAGGAAUAUUGGUCAAUGGACGCAAGUCUGAACCAGCCAUGCCGCGUGCAGGAAGACUGCCCUAUGAGUUGUAAACCGCUUUUGUACGAGGGUAAACGCACACACGUGUAUCUGUCUGAAAGUAUCGGACGAAUAAGGAUCGGCUAACUCCGUGCCAGCAGCCGCGGUAAUACGGAGGAUUCAAGCGUUAUUCGGAUUGAUUGGGUUUAAAGGGUGCGUAGGCGGUCGGAUAAGUUAGAGGUGAAAUCCCGGGGCUCAACUUCGGAAUUGCCUCUGAUACUGUGCGGCUAGAGAGUAGUUGCGGUAGGCGGAAUGUAUGGUGUAGCGGUGAAAUGCUUAGAGAUCGUACAGAACACCGAUGGCGAAGGCAGCUUACCAAGCUACUUCUGACGUUGAGGCACGAAAGCGUGGGGAGCAAACAGGAUUAGAUACCCGAGUAGUC
rnacentral:rRNA from 1 species